AGGUAAUUAACGCCACCUGUGGAUGAGCACUAAGCGAAAGCGACAAACGCUCAGGCUGUCCAACAACAUCAGGAGGAAAGAAGAGGCAAAUAUAGUUUAAGUGUCUCUACUUUUACACAUGUCCUCCAUACGUCUUCGUGAAGCCGCGUCAAUAAGAGCCGGGAUCAGCGCGACGUGUCCGCUCAAGCUGUUGUCAGCCGUCGCGGGAGAGUCGCGUCAUCGGAAGGAGAGGAGGUUCAGAAUUAUGGCUCUUGAGGUCGUCGGUGGUGUGAUUUCAAUCAAAAAACACGGCAACAUUCAUUAGGUGGACGCCGCCGUCACCCCGAGGAGCGCCACCUGUCUAAGAUGCAGCAGAACGGUUACGAGAACCCAACCUACAAGUUCUUUGAGCAGAUGCAGAACUGAGGAGAAUGUCACAUGUACACACACACACACACACACACAUACACAUACAAACAUCUCCUCCCAAACAUCAAACACCUCCCCUCCCUCUCUCUCCUCCCCACCCCCCCCUCGUCCAGUCCCACGUCUCCUGAAAGGCAGUGUGGCUUAGACCGUUGUGACUGAAAUAGUCAGUUACGAGCGUACGGAGCGACUGUAGCCAGGGUUUACUUUCAUUUCUGUCUGGGCGGACACUGCGGUCAAGUGUGCACCACGUUUGUUCACUUUAUCGGAGCAAGACGCCUUUUA